rnacentral:sRNA from 1 species
GGUUUGCGUGAGGGAUGGAAGCGGUUAUCCUUUUACGGCUGUAGUCCCGAUCCUUCGGGACGGAGGCCGUAAAAGAUAAAAGCGGACAGCCCGACAGCGG